CAUUGCCCGAGUUGUUAAUUUUAGCCACUCUGACAGGUGUGAGAUAGUAUCUCAUUGUGGUUUUGUGCUUCCCUGAUGAUGAGUAAUGGUGAGCAUUUUUGUCAUGCAUCUAUUAGCCAUCUGGAUUUCUUCUUUGGAAAAGUGUAUAUUUGUGUCUUUUGCCAAUUUCUUCACUGAUCAUUUGUUUUUUGGGUGUUGAGUUUGAUAAGUUCUUUAUAGAUUUUGGAUGCUAACUCUUUAUCUGAUAUGAAAAGACAAAGGCUUUUAAACUGAGUAAUAUAAGAUAAUAAAACACAAAAUAACGCUCAACAUCCAGCUUUGUACUGUUUUCAUGAGACAUACCUAAAAAUAACAAAGUUAAAAAAUAAGAGAAUGGAAAAAGAAUACAGUUAAAUGCUAACCCAGGCUCACACACAGCAAUAACAGUAUCAGACAAUAGAUCUCAAGGCAAAAAUCAUAAAAGGAGAUAAAGAGGAAUGGUUCAUACUGAUAAAAGAUACAAUCCUCCAAGAAAAAAUAAUGCAUUUAACAACACUGUUUGAAAUAGGUGUAUUAGAUAAAAAUGGAUAGAAAUACAUAAGUCCUUAAUCUCACUAUAGGAAUAUUAAUAUAACUUACUCUCAAGUUAAAAGGUAAGGUAGAAUCUAAAAAGAUAAUAACACAUUUAAAAAGCUUGAUCCAGUAAAUAUCAUAGAUCUUUGUACCCAGAAAAUAUAUGUAUUUUUUCAAGCAAAUAUGAAAGAUUAAAAUAGAUCACUUCAAUCUUAUGAUUGAAAUGCACUGAAACCAGUUUUUUUUCCCUUUUGUCACUAUGUAGCCCCUGGACAUUUUUGUAGAAGACAGAUUAAUUCAAGCUGCAACUAUACAUUUGGUCUUCAAAUAGUUCAGUUAAACAACCAGAAAAAUCCGCAUGAAAGAUAAAUUUGAGCAAGAAAAGAUUGCUUUGCUCUGGGGGAAUUCAGCUGCCACAUAAUGAGGCAGCUCCGUAGAAAAGCUCAUAUAACAAGGAACUAAGGACUGACAACAGCCAUAUGUAUUACCUUAGAAGUGGAUUCUCUCUGUCAAGCCUUGCGAUGAGCAAAGCCACAAAUCACCUUGACACCUUGACUGUCCUGAGCCAGAACUAUCUCACUAAGUCAUUGCUGUAUUCCCCACCUUAAGAAACUGUGAGAUAAUAAAUUUUUAUUUUCAA